GACCAUUUUCCAACCAACACUGCUGGUCCCCAAACCUGCACUCUAGAAGCACCACUAUAGAGCGUUUCCCCUUCUAGGAAGGAGAUGGGUCCUCCCUGAAGGGGCUGUGCAGGGGAGGGGAUGAUGGGCAUUGAUGGGCAUUGUGACUGCAGUCCUGCACUGUGGAUCUGGCUGGGCAAACAUAGAUAGGAUGGAGGGGUGGGGUGGGCCACGUGAUACCUCACUCUCUUGUACUGUGAACUGUCACCUGCAGAGCAGAGAUGCCGCAGGCCCGGCCCUUAGAAGGCGCAUUCAGCCCCAUCUCCUUCAAGCCAGGCCUCCACCAGGCUGACAUCAAGCUGACCGUGUGGAAAAGGCUCUUCCGGAAAGUUUUGCCAGCCCCGGAGCCUCUCAAGUUGGACCCUGCCACUGCCCACCCACUCCUGGAGCUCUCCAAGGGCAACACGGUGGUGCAGUGCGGGCUUCUGGCCCAGCGGCGAGCCAGCCAGCCUGAGCGCUUCGACUACAGCACCUGCGUCCUGGCCAGCCGCGGCUUCUCCUGCGGCCGC
rnacentral:lncRNA from 1 species